AGAGUUUGAUCCUGGCUCAGAACGAACGCUGGCGGCGUGCUUAACACAUGCAAGUCGAACGAGAAAGUUUCCUUCGGGAAACGAGUAGAGUGGCGCACGGGUGAGUAACGCGUAGGUAAUCUGCCCUUACAUUUGGGAUAACAUUGGGAAACUGGUGCUAAUACCGAAUGGUCUUCUUUGCUGCAGGGCGAAGGAGUAAAGGUGGCCUCUUCAUGAAAGCUACCGUGUAGGGAUGAGCUUGCGUACCAUUAGCUAGUAGGUGAGGUAACGGCCCACCUAGGCUACGAUGGUUAGCGGGUCUGAGAGGAUGAUCCGCCACACUGGAACUGGAACACGGACCAGACUCCUACGGGAGGCAGCAGUGAGGAAUAUUGCGCAAUGGGGGAAACCCUGACGCAGCGACGCCGCGUGAGUGAGGAAGGUUUUCGGAUCGUAAAGCUCUGUCAGAAGGGAAGAAGUGUUGCAUGGUUAAUACCCAUGCAAUUUGACGGUACCUUCAGAGGAAGCACCGGCUAACUCCGUGCCAGCAGCCGCGGUAAUACGGAGGGUGCAAGCGUUGUUCGGAAUUACUGGGCGUAAAGGGCGCGUAGGCGGCCUGAUAAGUCAGAUGUGAAAGUCCACGGCUCAACCGUGGAAGUGCAUUUGAAACUGUCAGGCUUGAGUAUCGGAGGGGAGUGUGGAAUUCCCGGUGUAGAGGUGAAAUUCGUAGAGAUCGGGAGGAACACCGGUGGCGAAGGCGACACUCUGGACGAAUACUGACGCUGAGGCGCGAAAGCGUGGGGAGCAAACAGGAUUAGAUACCCUGGUAGUCCACGCCGUAAACGAUGUGAACUAGGGAUAGGGGGUGUUGAUCCCUCCUGUCCCGGAGCUAACGCAUUAAGUUCACCGCCUGGGGAGUACGGUCGCAAGAUUAAAACUCAAAGGAAUUGACGGGGGCC
rnacentral:rRNA from 1 species